AUUGAACGCUGGCGGCAGGCCUAACACAUGCAAGUCGAGCGGAGCGGCGGACGGGUGCGUAUUGCCUAGGAAUCUGCAUGGGAGUGGGGGAUAACGUCCGGAAAUUGGCGCUAACACUGCAUCCUAUCAGAUGCGCCUAGGUCGGAUUAGCUAGUGGGUGGGGUAAAGGGCAACCAAGGCGAAGAUCCGUAACUGGUCUGAGAGGAGGAUCAGUCACACUGGAACUGAGACACGGUCCAGACUCCUACGGGAGGCAGCAGUGGGGAAUAUUGGACAAUGGGCGAAAGCCUGAUGCAGCCAUGCCGCGUGUGUGAAGAAGGUCUUCGGAUUGUAAAGCACUUUAAGUUGGGAGGCGUUACCAACAGAAUAAGCACCGGCUAACUUCGUGCCAGCAGCCGCGGUAAUUC
rnacentral:rRNA from 1 species